rnacentral:rRNA from 1 species
CCUACGGGAGGCAGCAGUGAGGAAUAUUGGUCAAUGGGCGGAAGCCUGAACCAGCCAAGUAGCGUGCGGGAUGAAGGCCCUACGGGUCGUAAACCGCUUUUGCACGGGGAUAACACCCUCCCCUUGUGGAGGUCUGCAGGUACCGUGCGAAUAAGGGCCGGCUAAUUCCGUGCCAGCAGCCGCGGUAAUACGGAAGGCCCGAGCGUUAUCCGGAUUCAUUGGGCUUAAAGGGAGCGUAGGCGGGCGUUCAAGUCAGAGGUAAAAUCGCGCGGCUCAACCGCGCCCCGCAGUUGAAACUGGACGCAUUGAGUUCACAACAGGCAGGCGGAAUGCGUGGUGUAGCGGUGAAAUGCAUAGAUAUCACGAGGAACCCCGAUUGCGAAGGCAGCCUGCCGGGGUGCGACUGACGCUGAGGCUCGAAGGUGCGGGUAUCAAACAGGAUUAGAUACCCUGGUAGUC